rnacentral:lncRNA from 1 species
UAAACUUUUGCUAAUACAAAAACUUAAUUAAAAAAGAAACUAAAAAAUAGGCAAAUGGCUGCACUCGAGCGCACGACACAAGGGUGGGUUGGGUGGUUAGUAAGCGGAAGCGGCGCUUGACCACUAAGCCGAAGAGUAUAAUGAGUUGCAUCUGUGCAAAUAACAUCUAAUAUAUUAUUCAAAAGUACAUAUUAUAAAAGAAAAAUCGACCAACCCAACCAAUCAUACACUC